rnacentral:rRNA from 1 species
UGGGGAAUAUUGCACAAUGGGCGCAAGCCUGAUGCAGCCAUGCCGCGUGUGUGAAGAAGGCCUUCGGUUGUAAAGCACUUUCAGCGAGGAGGAAGGUGGUGAACUUAAUACGUUCAUCAAUUGACGUUACUCGCAGAAGAAGCACCGGCUAACUCCGUGCCAGCAGCCGCGGUAAUACGGAGGGUGCAAGCGUUAAUAGGAAUUACUGGGCGUAAAGCGCACGCAGGCGGUUUGUUAAGUCAGAUGUGAAAUCCCCGGGCUCAACCUGGGAACUGCAUUUGAAACUGGCAAGCUAGAGUCUCGUAGAGGGGGGUAGAAUUCCAGGUGUAGCGGUGAAAUGCGUAGAGAUCUGGAGGAAUACCGGUGGCGAAGGCGGCCCCCAUGGACGAAGACUGACGCUCAGGUGCGAAAGCGUGGGGAGCAAACAGAUUAGAUACCCUGGUAGUCCACGCUGUAAAACGAUGUCGAUUUUGGAGGUUGUGCCCCUUGAGGCGUGGNUUCCGGAGCUAACGCGUUAAAUCGACCGCCNGGGGAGUACGGCCNCAAGGUUAAAACUUAAAGGAAUUGC